UACAGAGGGUGCAAGCGUUAAUCGGAAUUACUGGGCGUAAAGCGAGCGUAGUCGGUUAUUUAAGUCGGAUGUGAAAUCCCCGGGCUCAACCUGGGAAUUGCAUUCGAUACUGGAUAGCUAGAGUUCGGCAGAGGGAAGCGGAAUUUCUGGUGUAGCGGUGAAAUGCGUAGAUAUUGGGAGGAACACCGGUGGCGAAGGCGGCUAUCUGGACCGGUACUGACGCUGAUACGCGAAAGCCAGGGGAGCAAACGGG
rnacentral:rRNA from 1 species